GGCGGGACCACUUGGGAGGCGGGGGGGUGGGAGGUGGGAGCGGAGUGCCAUUUCCUCUGGCCGGAGUACAAUGGGGCGGCGGUGGGGCCGGGAGGCGGCGGCCGGCGCUGCGGCAUGUCGGGACCUGUAGUCGCGACAGCGCUGCGUCCCCUGCGCUCGGCGGCCGCGGGGGCUGGGGGUUGCCGCCUCCUCACGAAGAGUCCCACUGAAACGCCCGGAGGAGAAGGGUUCCCUCUGCGGGUGGGAAGCCCGAAGCUCGUGGAAAGCGCCCCGGGGGAAAGGGGUGACCCGAGGCGGGGCGAAGGGCUCCCCGCGGGCGGCGCCGCUGUGCAGUUGACAUGCAUGGAGCCUAGCGUACAGCCGACGUAAGGACACACGAAGGAACUGGGAAAAGGAAUCAGUUCUUCUGUGCUGAGGUAGUGAGGCAUGAAAAAUUCCUACUCCACAGGAAUAUUGAAGCCUGAGCACCCCACACAAGUACAUCAGCUGUCAGAGCUCAGUCUCCUCUCCACGUCCUUGCACCAGGCUCCAUGCAUAAGAUAAUCAAUUGGCCCUGAAGAGCCACAAAGGUGCCUGCUCUUCUUGCCCUGAUCCCUCUUCUCCUUCUCCAAGCCUCCCCUUUCAGAAUCACAGAAUCACAUGGGGUUGGAAGGGACCUCUGGAGAUCAUCUAGUCCAACCCCCCUGCCAGAGCAGGUCCAUCUAGAGCAGGUUGCACAGGAGCGUGUCCAGGCGGGUUUUGAAUGUCUGCAGAGAAGGAGACUCCACCUUCCUGGGCGGCCUGUUCCAGUGCUCUGCCACCCUCAAAGUAAAGAAGUUCCUCCUCAUGUUUAGGUGGAACUUCUUAUAUUCAAGUUUGUGCCCAUUUCCUCUUGUCCUGUCCCUGGGCUCCACUGGAAAAAGACUGGCCCCAUCCUCUUGGAGUAUCCCUUUUAAGUAUUUAUAGGCGUUGAUCAGAUCCCCCCUCAGUCUGCUCUUCUCUCUCCUACCAAAGUCUUUCUCUUCUACCAAGAAGUAACAUAAAAGGGAAACAGAGAAACAAGAUAGAUAGACAGAUAGAUAGGGCAGAGAGAUCACCAAGGGUAGCUGAGAUUUGGGUCAUCAUAUAAUCUUUUCAUGCCACCUUGCUUGAUUUCCAUCUGCUUCAGGAAGGUUUGUUAGUUUGCUCAGCAGAUGCCCCGGCAAACCUGUUCCCAGUGCCAGAUGGCAUGUAACUUUAGAAAAGUGGUAACUUGGGACUGAGCAACCAAUGCAUCAAGUCUUGAAUGUGGAAUGGUCUUCUUCACUCCGCUCAUGUAUUCAUAAAACAGCUACAGAGGACUUGAGGAGGAGAGAAGGGAAGAUGAUGAAUUAUUGCAUUUGAAUCUCAU
rnacentral:lncRNA from 1 species